UUCUCUGUGGGAAUGCUGUAUAACGAAAACUUUCUCUCUCUCUCUCUCUCUCUCUUUUAGAAGGGUUUUUUUAAGGAUUGCAUACUCGGCCGUGCUUGCAUACUUCAAGAUAGAAUUAGACUAUCUCUAUAACUCUGUCGAAGAUGUGAUGAACAUCUAAGAGAAAAAAUAAGAAGAAAAAAAAAAGCUUAUCCCAUCUCUGAGACCAUAUUAGGUGAACAUGCCAAAACCAUUAUCUCUGAGUUGUUUCUCUUUGGCACUUACCCAAGUGUGAGUCAUAUUCUUCUAGACUUCUGCUCGCAAUACAUUCGCGAUAUAUAUGCAUAUGCCCCGUAUACAUCUAUGUAUGCGUGUGUGUAUAUAUGUAAAGCAGUUAGUUUCCAUUCUCGUUGCAAGAGGAAGCAUCUACAGCGGCAUCCAAAACGGUUUAAGGAACCCCAGCCAUAACGGAAACCCCCAAAGUGCAAUUUGUGUCUUUGAAGCGUGCAUCGACAUCGCUUAAUGGUUUCGGAAAUCCGAUAAACGUUAUUAAUAAAAAUAUAUUUUUAUUAUUGCUGUUGUUAUUAUUGUUAUUGUUGUUAUUCUGUACCGGAUGGUGUGUAAUUAAUAGCCGUUUAUAAAGUAUACCAUUAUAGUUUUGCAGUUGACACGAUCAAAUGACAAACCAUCCGGCAUAUUCGGAGAGAAACAUAGUUGGGAGAGGUUCCUGGAAAAGAUCCAGACACGCCGAUGACAAUAGGUCUGUCGUUUCUUACAUAAACGUUUGGCUUAAGAAAAGUGGUAUACAGUUGAAAUAAAAUGAACAAUGAUAGUCAGGUACACGCAAACCCCUCUCUACUAGAAGAAAAAUAAACGAAAAAGACGGGGAACAGAAAAAAAAGAAGAAGAAGAAGACCUCCUUAAAGCGGACAAUUAGUGGACAUUUCUGAAAUUCUCAAAUUUUGCCAUUGUUGCAGAAAGAAAGCGACUUAGCAAACGUUAAAAAAAAGUAUAUAAAAAGAAAGAAAUAUAUAUAUACAUAAAAAAGUCUCAGAGGAUUUACGUAUCAGCGAUUUUAUUCCGACUGUUUAGACAAGGGUAGUUUUUUUUUCUAUCACUCCUCUUUUUUUAAACAUAUAUAUAUUCUUCAGAACUCUCUACAACGUGGAGGGUAUGCACAUAUAUAUAUUAUAUUGGGGGACGUACAGCACCCACACCGGGAGACAAAGGGAACACGUAUUACCCAUCUCUCACACACAUACACACACACACAUACAACACGAGUAUAUAAUUUUCUGCAUUAUUACCUCCGGUGUUCCGAUGGCAAAAGGUAUGGAAGAAUAUCCUAGAGUCACAGAUCCGAAGCGAAAUGUCACACCUGACAGGAUUAAGAGGAUACAGAUUAGAAGUUAAUUUGUGUCCCUAAGCAAUCUGGUGUGAACACUUUAAAAAGUUGUCUAGUCAUAUGUUUGGGGAUCACUUUUCCGAACGGAAUUCUCCUGUCUUAGAGACAGUAACCCCAGCAACGGUUCAACGAUGCCGAAGAACAGAAAAAAAAAAGCAAAAAAGAAAAUAAAAAAAUCUGCAAAAGUAUAAAACCGAAUAAAUACUAAACUCUCCUUUACUAAAUUGCUAACACCUAUUUGAUGUUUUUAACACGCUUUCAAAGGUGAGCUUUCGGCACAAAACGUUUAGUUUCCUCGACAUUUUUUUCGAUCU
rnacentral:lncRNA from 1 species